AAGGGCGGGGUAGGGUGGGCAGCUCCAAGGUUGCCCCUAACGACCUGAGUCGGGGCCGGGACUCAGCAGUCUCUGUCUGGCCUCGAGACCGCCCUGGCUCGUAUGCUGCUUGGGUGUGAAUGCCUUCCCCCUGCCUGCCCCCACCCUCUCUCUAGAGGAUGCCUACAGAGCCCCGACUGCAGUAUUUGCGUGCUUCAAGCUGGAAGACACAGAACGACUUUCCUAGCUCACGGUUGCUUUCACAAGCCGGGGACUUUCACCUUUUGUUUUUAAGAACUCCCAGACCCUUCCUUGCCCUGUUCAGAGCUGGUCCUUCUUCAGAAAUCCUCAGCUUUGAUGCCUCCACUGCUAAAAGACCUGCCAGGCUUCCAGGCUGGCUUUGGCUCCAUCGUGGUGCUCACUCAAACCCACAUUCUCUGCGAUGGGCUGCAUCACACUUUUCUGCAAUUGCCUGGCUAGCUUUGAAUUCUCCCGACUGGCCAUAUGGCCUGACACAGAGCAAGCCUUCUGUGACCACCUGGAGAGUGAAUGAAUGAGCAAAUGGAUCAUCAUAGUCAACACUAUAUAGUCAUUUGUGAUUGGCUUAUUGAGUUUCCUUCCUCUAUGAGCUGGGUCUAUAGUCUUCCGCCAGCCUUACUCCUACUCACUUGAUCCAGUUUCUAAGAAACUGUCUGACUUCUCUCUACCAUCCAGGUUGAACAAGGCCUCUGGGAAUGGAGGGUAGGGAGGACUUUUUGAUAAGGGUUUUCCUCCAGGAUAAGAAGUCUCCUUCUUCUUCACCCACACCAUCUUUUUUUUUUUUGUUUUAACUUCCAAAGAAGCAAAGUCAAAAUCACAAAGAUCCUCAGGCAUCCUCAGGGUGGUCCUCCUCCUCUUCUGUCAACUCUCAUUUAUAAACCCAUCAUUCAUUGGUGGUACCUAGGUACUGGCCUGAGCACACAGACCAACAUUAGAUAUUUAUUUAUUAUCUGAAAAUUCCCCCCAACCCCCCCAACCAUGGGGCACAGAUCAUACUAUCAAGCUCACCCUCCUUAUAUCCCAAGUCUCUAGUACUUAAGCGCAGUAAAUAUUAACUGAGUGAAUGGAUGAGUGAGUGCAGUCUAGAUUUUUGCUAUGAUCCCAGCAGCAGAGCACUGUGAGGACAGGUUUAAGACUAUCCACCCUUCCCUGAAGAGUCACCUAUUUGCUUAUUCUCAAGGUCCAUUUGAUGUGUUUGACUUUUAUGCAAGCCCUAGAGGGUGGAAGGAAGAAUAGUCCCUGCCUAGGUCCCUUAGAUACGGAUCAAUUCACUGUGAAAUAUUUGUACCACAGAGAACCCCCACCUCAACCCCAACCUAUGCCUGUUCUUUUUCUACCUGGGAAUUCUUUCUAUCAGAUGACUUAAGAUGACUUAAUUUACCUUCACAUGCAACACAGAGACAGUUCACUAUGAUCUCAGAUGUAUUUUUUUUAAGACAUAGAAAAAGUUUGGAGGAAAAUAUGUUUAAACAUUAAUAGCAGUUGCCUCUGGGUGUGGAGUUUAUGGUUAAUUUUUUUUUUUAUGUUUUUCAAAAAUUUUCUACAAUGGACUCCUAUUUUCAUAAUAAAGAAAUUUUGGCAGAA